CUGCCGGUGAUAAACCGGAGGAAGGUGGGGAUGACGUCAAGUCAUCAUGGCCCUUACGAGUAGGGCUACACACGUGCUACAAUGGCAGAUACAAAGAGAAGCGACCUCGCGAGAGCAAGCGGAACUCAUAAAGUCUGUCGUAGUCCGGAUUGGAGUCUGCAACUCGACUCCAUGAAGUCGGAAUCGCUAGUAAUCGUAGAUCAGAAUGCUACGGUGAAUACGUUCCCGGGCCUUGUACACACCGCCCGUCACACCAUGGGAGUGGGUUGCAAAAGAAGUAGGUAGCUUAACCUUCGGGAGGGCGCUUACCACUUUGUGAUUCAUGACUGGGGUGAAGUCGUAACAAGGUAACCGUAGGGGAACCUGCGGU
rnacentral:rRNA from 1 species